CCUUUUAGACUGGAACAACUUACCGAAAGGUGAGCUAAUGCCGGAUGAGUUAUAUAAGUGCAUGUUUAUAUAGGAAAAGUUGGGGAGACCUGACGCUGAAAGAUGGACUCGCGUCCCAUUAGCUAGUUGGUAGGGUAAUGGCCUACCAAGGCGACGAUGGGUAGCCGGCCUGAGAGGGUGGCCGGCCACACUGGGACUGAGACACGGCCCAGACUCCUACGGAAGGCAGCAG
rnacentral:rRNA from 1 species